GACCUUGCACUGUGCAAGGACAUGUUCAGACAUGGUGGACAAGUCCUAUACUGAAAAUAUACAACAAAAUACUAAACAGCACAUAUGUAAAGGUUUUUCAACCAACAGAAUGUCUAUUAAGUUGCCGAAUUGCUGUGAAUUUUCAUAGCCAAUGUCAUCUGUUAGGAUGCAAAGUAAGAUUUCUGCAGCAAAAUAUGCAUGUAAUGCAUUUUUUGGAGCAGAUUUUCUACGGUUUUGCAGCAAGAUUCACGGUGGAAUGUAAAGGAAUUUAACAUUCUCAGGGGAGCAGAUAGGCUAAAUAAAAAACCUUACCUCACCUGCCAUUCCAGCUCUGCGGGUACAUACCUCGGGGCUUCUGACUCCCGUCAGACACAGAAGUGAUGAUGUCACAUCCAUCAUUCAUGUGACCGUUCAGCAAGUCACUCGCCUCAGCAAUCACAUGGCGUUCAUGCAAAUGUGACCUCUGAGACCAGUGAUUGAAUUGGCAGCCAUGUGAACAAUGGACGUAACGUUACUACUUUCAGUCCAGCAGGGACUAGGAGCCUCAAGGGACUCGAUGGCAGUUCUGGAACAGGACGGACCUUUUGCAGGUGAGUUGAGCUUUGAGAAUUGUUUGACAUUGAUUUAAAUGGGUCAGGAUAUUGAUGACUGGUCCUUGGAAAUAUUGAUUUUGUUAAUAAAUUGUAAGUAGCCUUUUGCCCUAAUGUACAGCAAGACUGGGAACGUCUGUUCUAUCUUACUUAAUGUGGGGCUCCAUUCAGACGUCCGUGAUUUGG